GAAGUUUUACUGUUGCAUUAUUAAAUUAGUGCAACAUAAAGAUACAUUAGGUGGUAUACCUUAGUAAAAUGAGCUGGUUGUAGAAAACGUGUCACAAAACCUAUAUAGGGGUGGUGAUGUCGGGCAGGCAUGUCAUAUGAGAAAAAUUUCACAAGUGAAAUAUAUAUGACUAUUUAUAUGGAGUGUCAUGCCGGCAUAAGUCAUAUAUAAAUAAUAUAUGAAAAUAAUCAUAUAGAAGGCAAUAUGAUUAAAAAAGUUAAAAAUAAUGAAGUUUUACUGUUGCAUUAUUAAAUUAGUGCAACAUAAAGAUACAUUAGGUGGUAUACCUUAGUAAAAUGAGCUGGUUGUAGAAAACGUGUCAC